rnacentral:rRNA from 1 species
AUUGAACGCUGGCGGCAUGCCUUACACAUGCAAGUCGAACGGCAGCACGGGUGCUUGCACCUGGUGGCGAGUGGCGAACGGGUGAGUAAUACAUCGGAACGUACCUUAUCGUGGGGGAUAACGCAGCGAAAGUUGUGCUAAUACCGCAUACGCCCUGAGGGGGAAAGCGGGGGAUCGCAAGACCUCGCGCGAUUAGAGCGGCCGAUGCCUGGUUAGCUUGUUGGUGGGGGAAAAGCCCACCAAGGCGACGAUCAGUAGCUGGUCUGCGAGGACGAUCAGCCACACUGGGACUGAGACACGGCCCAGACUCCUACGGGAGGAAGCAGUGGGUAAUUUUGGACAAUGGGGGCAACCCUGAUCCAGCAAUGCCGCGUGAGUGAAGAAGGCCUUCGGGUUGUAAAGCUCUUUUGUCAGGGAAGAAACACCGGCUCUAACACAGUCCGGGAAUGACGGUACCUGAAGAAUAAGCACCGGCUAACUACGUGCCAGCCGCCGCAGUAA